AGGAUGAACGCUGGCGGCGUGCCUAAUACAUGCAAGUCGAGCGGUAAGGUCCCUUCGGGGAUACACGAGCGGCGGACGGCUGAGUAACACGUAGGAACGUACCCCAAACUGAGGGAUAAGCACCAGAAAUGGUGUCUAAUACCGCAUGUGAUCUUCGGAUUAAAGCUUCGGCGGUUUGGGAACGGCCUGCGCAUGAUUAGCUUGUUGGUGAGGUAAUGGCUCACCAAGGCGACGAUCAUUAGCUGGUCUGAGAGGAUGAUCAGCCAGACUGGAACUGAGAACGGUCCAGACUCCUACGGGAGGCAGCAGUAGGGAAUUUUCCACAAUGGACGAAAGUCUGAUGGAGCAACGCCGCGUGCAGGAUGAAGGCUUUCGGGUCGUAAACUGCUUUUAUAUGUGACGAUUAUGACGGUAGCAUAUGAAUAAGGAUCGGCUAACUCCGUGCCAGCAGCCGC
rnacentral:rRNA from 1 species